GACGUAGGGCGCGAGCGUUGUCCGGAUUUAUUGGGCGUAAAGAGCUCGUAGGCGGUUUGUCGCGUCUGCCCGUGAAAGUCCGGGGCUCAACUCCGGAUCUGCGGUGGGUACGGGCAGACUAGAGUGAUGUAGGGGAGACUGGAAUUCCUGGUGUAGCGGUGAAAUGCGCAGAUAUCAGGAGGAAUACCGGUGGCGAAGGCGGCAUCCUGGACCGGCAUUGACGCUGAGGAGCGAAGCUAGGGAGCAAACGGG
rnacentral:rRNA from 1 species